rnacentral:lncRNA from 10 species
UUGUGUUAAAACUUUAAAAGUAUUUGAUACUUGUAUAAAAUAAAGGAUUGAUAUUCACAGUUUAUUUUAAAACCUACAAAUACUUAUAACCACAAAAAUCCAAUAGACCCAGGGGCCAAGUGUGGAGAUAGGGAAUUCAGAGGACAGGAAAUCCAAACACUUCCAAUACAGAGUCCAACCCACUCCCUGAGAGUUGGAUGUUUGGAAACUACAACGCAGGGAUAUCACUUUUUUGCCCACAACAUUUGCAAAAUUGAACGAUAUAAAAAUUUACCAUCGAAUUUUGUUCACAAUAUAGGGAAACAGGCACUGUCAUUUCUUGCGUGACAGAUUGGUUCAGUCUUCAAAGGACAACUUAGCAGCAUCUGCUGACAUGAUCAAAGCGCUUCUCUUUUGGUCCAUCAUCUCCACUUCUCAGUGACAAAUCUUAAGACACAUUCACAUGGAAAAAAGCCCAAGAUAGUCACAUACUUUCUGUUGUAUCUUUGUACUUAGAAUUACAAUAUGGGAGAAAAGUACCUUGACAUUCAUCUUCAAGGGAAUGGUGACACUACCCGACACCCCCGUUGUGACGUACGGUGCUGCAUACUCCCCAGUGACCAGCCCUUCUAAAUUCCAGACCGCUCAAAGAUGUGAGGGCAGUGUUUUUAAUCACAUGAUGCAGCUCAAAAUGAAGUUCCUGUGUGGUUUUAAUACUGAAAGGACACACGCUAUUACAAGUGGGAAAAAUGCUGUAACACCGGCCUACCAAACGUCAGAUCGUCUGGAGCAGCUGAAUUCAACUCUAUUCCCACCACUGGAAGUAAAGUAUGUUGUUAUAUUUACAGGAAAAUUUGAGCUGACUUUCACCAUUUUCAAAGCCUGAAUAAUUACGAUCUUGGCUUAGGUUAGACUACAUUGUAAAAAGCUUACCAAGUUUUGUUUCGUAACUGCUUUUAUCAUCUUAAAAUGAAACUGCAUAUAUUCAUAAUAAAUAAAGAAAUGCC